CUGCCAUGCUCUUACCUUGAUGAUAAUGGACUGACCCUCUGAACCUUGAUAUGAAAGUAUGGACUGAGAUGUUUCCAUCAUCCUGAAUCUCUGUGUGAAUGUGAACAGAGCUCCCCAUACAGAUGGGGCAAGAAGCACAAAUACCACAGGAACUAAAAAAUUUUUAAACCAACUAAGAUGCGAAUGUUGAUUAGACCGUGUGACUACUAGAAAAAAAAUCCAAAUAUAUAUUGGCAGAUGAUGUAAAGUAUUGCUUUAGAACCACAAAACUUUGGUCAACGAUGACAAGUGGGGAGAGGAAAUAAAGGGAGAAAACAACAGCAAAGGCUAUAAUGAGGUUAUAUACCUGCAAUGUUCUUAGUAAUGAAGAUAACAAACACAAAGGCUGGAGAUGCAGCACUGCACUACAGUGCUUACCUAGUACAGCCCUGGUGGGGUCAGCCCAUCAGCCAACCAACACCCGAGUCCACUGGAGGGCAGUGAGAACACAGGCAAAAAACUAAAUGGAGGAUGCUGUGGAUGGAAAGCACGCAUUUGUACAGCUGAGCUCCAUCCCCGACCCUAUCUUGAUCAGUCUGCUGCUUCCUAACUGAACGCACAGGAAGGAGAUCAUCGGAUAAUCUUAAACAUGACAUGCUCACGUCUUCUCUUGGUGAUUCGGGGAAUAAUUUCAUUUAAUUAUCUCCAUUUCACCAUAAAAUCUGUUUGUCAUAGCAA